rnacentral:rRNA from 1 species
AGUGAACGCUGGCGGCGUGCUUAACACAUGCAAGUCGAACGAGAACGGGAUAUAGCUUGCUAUAUUUGUCAGCUAAGUGGCGCACGGGUGAGUAAUGUAUAGAUAACCUGCCCUUAAGAAAGGAAUAACAGUUGGAAACGACUGCUAAUGCCCUAUAUGCCUUUAAUACAUAAGUAUGCAAGGGAAACGCUUUAGUGCUUAAGGAUGGGUCUGUAUGGUAUCAGCUUGUUGGUGAGGUAAUGGCUCACCAAGGCUAUGACGCCUAACUGGUUUGAGAGGAUGAUCAGUCACACUGGAACUGAGACACGGUCCAGACUCCUACGGGAGGCAGCAGUGGGGAAUAUUGCACAAUGGACGAAAGUCUGAUGCAGCAACGCCGCGUGGAGGAUGACACAUUUCGGUGCGUAAACUCCUUUUAUAUAGGAAGAUAAUGACGGUACUAUAUGAAUAAGCACCGGCUAACUCCGUGCCAGCAGCCGCGGUAAUACGGAGGGUGCAAGCGUUACUCGGAAUCACUGGGCGUAAAGAGCGUGUAGGCGGGUAUAUAAGUCAGAAGUGAAAUCCAAUAGCUCAACUAUUGAACUGCUUUUGAAACUGUAUACCUAGAAUGUGGGAGAGGUAGAUGGAAUUUCUGGUGUAGGG